UAGGGAAUCUUCCACAAUGGACGCAAGUCUGAUGGAGCAACGCCGCGUGAGUGAAGAAGGCUUUCGGGUCGUAAAAACUCUGUUAUUGAAGAAGAACGUGCGUGACAGUAACUGGUCAUGCAGUGACGGUAUUCAAUCAGAAAAGUCACGGCUAACUACGUGCCAGCAGCCGCGGUAAUACGUAGGUGGCAAGCGUUGUCCGGAUUUAUUGGGCGUAAAGCGAGUGUAGGCGGUCUUUUAAGUCUGAUGUGAAAGCCUUCGGCUUAACCGAAGAAGGGCAUCGGAAACUGGG
rnacentral:rRNA from 1 species